AGGAAUCUUUAAUAGAGUGGUUGGAAAAUCAGGAGUAUUGGAAGAGGAAUAAUGGGUGGGACCAUGUGUUUAUAUGUCAGGAUCCUAAUGCUUUGUACAAGGUGGUGGAUAGGGUGAAAAAUGGGGUGUUGUUAGUUUCAGACUUUGGGAGAUUGACACACAAUCAGGGAUCACUUGUGAAAGAUGUGAUUUUGCCGUACUCACAUCGAAUUAAUUCAUAUUUAGGCAAUGUUGGGGUUGAGAAUCGUGAUAAACUGCUUUUCUUUAUGGGGAACAGAUAUCGAAAGGAGGUAACUUCUUUACAGUUGUUUUUCAAAAGGUUUCAUAUUGUAUUUCCUGUACUACCACCUAUUCUGAAGACAGAAAGUAGAUUUUUUUGUUUAGACGGAUCUUUUGUUUAUAGACUGCUAUUACAUGUAGCAAGCUUGAGUGAAGUAGACUAGCUAUUGUUGCACUUGCUUGGAAUGAGUUAGCAGAUUGAUAAGUAUCUUUUGUGUUGAUUAAUCUGAGUGGUCACCGUGAAUCUGAAUUUAUCACUGAAAAUCAACACAUGAUUUGUGGUGCAUUUUCAGAAUAUCUCCAACAAGGUUCAGCUUACCUGAUGUGUGGUAGUUAGGGUUGUUGAGCUUGUAUUAAGUAGAAGUCCCAAGGUAAAGCCUUUUUUCAGUAGAUUUUUUAUGACACUCUACAAUUUGUUUGUGCUUAUUAUGUGCACCAUGAUGCAAAAAGUUUCUGGAAACCAGAAGGUGUAACAUUUGUUUUGCUGAUUUUGUACUUUAGAAUCCAUGCUUCAGGGACUGGAGAAGUACUCUUGUAGGUCAAAGAUUCUUCCUAUUUCAACACUAAUGAAACACAUACUUUUUGGUCUUCAUAUCUAUUUUCCAUUAACCACUCUGAAUUCCUCUGUAUUGUUUCAAGUUCAAUUGUUCCAAUUGAUGCAUCGCUUAUUUGGUUGACUGAAAGAUAAUCCAUGUCGCUUCAAGUGAAUAUUUCACCUUAUAAAUGUCAGAAGAACAAGAUUCUUUCAGUAUUUAAUACAAAAGAAGAUUUUGGGCUAAUUACCAUAUUUGCUUUGCUUUACAUUUGACUACAUAAUAAUGCAUACCCGACUAAAUUUCUAGUUUUGCUCUAAUCUAAAUUGUUAAGUUGUGAAGUUUUCAGGCUUCUUUGGUCCAUUGCUUUCAUAUAAGAGAAUUAUGAAUCCUAUCAUCUCAGCUUUGGCUAAUUUUGGAUGUAAAAUUUACGCUACUUAAAGAUGUUAUCCAAUGCAUAUGGGAAAAUAUAUCCCGUGGAGGGAGGUGCUUUAUUAUUUUCUCGUAUGGUAAAAAUUUAGUUGGAGAAGAAUGCAAAGUGUUGCCUAACAUUUUAUAUGUAGUUAUAACAUAUAUGCAUAAACUCUCUCAUAAAGCUUUAAUUAGUCAGUCCAAACAUAAAUCGGACAAAUUUAUCUGAAAAGAAUUAGCAAUCCAAAACUAUUGGUUGCAUGACACAUUAUUCUGUGGGUGUUAAUUGCAUCUUAUUUGGUCUGUGUUCAUGAGUAGCCCUUAGAUUUGGAUCAAUAUCUUCGUAAUUAAGUUGGUAAUCUUUUUAAACUUUAAAAUCUUCCGAUAGUGGCAUUCUUUUACUCUUCUAGGGACCCUUUUGAAUUUUAUACAUCUACAUAAUAUCAUAUGAGGAAAGCUCAUUUGCUCCAACUAAAUAGAUUAACCAUGGUUGACCCAUGACUUUAGCAAUAGGAUGGUAAAUUUUUACUUCAUAAGUACUUUUUCCAUCAAUUAAAUAGCCAGAUCCACCAGUUUAACACAUAUAACUUAAAGCUUGGAUGAAGUCAGAUAUGGACUGAUGCUCAUUACCUGAGAAUGACCAUUCACAUCUUUGCAACUCUAUAUCUCCCUUGCCCUCUUCUUGAACCAGAAUGGGAACUUGGGUCUUCCAAAUUAGUCGUUGCAACUUACAUGGUAGCUGCUACUUUGCAUACAAGAUUCUAGAGUGGGAUUUGGACUUGGUGAUGCCAAAUUCUGCUCCUUGUGGAUCCUAGUGUUUGUAAGAGGUCUAUGGCUCAUUAAUAACCAACCCCAAUUGAAAAGAAGUUCAAGUCCAAUGAAGGAUGCAAAGUUCCUUUGUGUAGUACUGUAGACUUUUGCUAAUUUUCAUUGCUCAUGCAAUAGUUCUCUGCAUGUUGUGUGGUUUUUUUUUUUCGCUUCUGUUUCUUUUGAUAAAGUCAUGUCUGUUGAUUAGCGUUUGCUAAGCUUUCACUAGUUUAAUUCCAGGGGGGAAAGGUCCGUGACUUACUGUUCCAACUGCUUGAGAAUGAAGAAGAUGUUAUUAUAAAACACGGUGCACAGUCCAGAGAAUCUCGCAGAGAGGCAACAAGAGGGAUGCACACUUCAAAGUUCUGUUUGCAUCCAGCGGGUGAUACUCCAUCAGCUUGUCGGCUUUUUGAUGCUAUUGUGAGCUUGUGUAUACCUGUUGUUGUAAGCGACUAUAUUGAGUUGCCUUUUGAAGAUGUCAUAGACU
rnacentral:lncRNA from 1 species